GCGGAGGAAAAGAAACCAACAGGGAUUGCCCUAGUAACGGCGAGUGAAGCGGCAACAGCUCAAAUUUGAAAUCUGGCCUCACGGUCCGAGUUGUAAUUUGUAGAGGAUGCUUCUGGCGACGUGCCUUCCGAGUUCCCUGGAACGGGACGCCAUAGAGGGUGAGAGCCCCGUCCGGUCGUGCACCUAGCCUCUGUGAAGCUCCUUCGACGAGUCGAGUAGUUUGGGAAUGCUGCUCUAAAUGGGAGGUAUACGUCUUCUAAAGCUAAAUACCGGCCAGAGACCGAUAGCGCACAAGUAGAGUGAUCGAAAGAUGAAAAGCACUUUGAAAAGAGGGUUAAAUAGUACGUGAAAUUGCUGAAAGGGAAGCGCUUAUGACCAGACUUGGGCUCGGUGAAUCAUCCGGCGUUCUCGCCGGUGCACUUUGCCGUCCCAGGCCAGCAUCAGUUCGCGCCGGGGGAUAAAGGCUUCGGGAAUGUAGCUCCUUCGGGAGUGUUAUAGCCCGUUGUGUAAUACCCUGGCGUGGACUGAGGUCCGCGCUCUGCAAGGAUGCUGGCGUAAUGUCAUCAGUGACCCGUC
rnacentral:rRNA from 1 species